rnacentral:lncRNA from 1 species
AGGAACCUUAGGACCCGCCCAUUUUUUCCGAUACAACAUCGAAUAGAGCCACUUGACUGAGGAUAAACAAGUCCGCCUACUGCAGGUACAGACCACCAGAACACAUAUCGUAAAUUUGUCAAGAAAAAGUAAUAAUGCAGUAAUAAUCGGUGGUGCGAAUGAAAAUUGAAAUUAGGUACAGGCACGUAAUAACGUGGUAUUGUUAGGUUGCAACGUAGCCAGGAAAUGGAGGGUGUUUCGCAGAAGGGGAUUGGAAGCUUGCCUAGGAUGAUUAUCAGAGCGUCAAUGACUGGACAAUUGGCAACGAUCGGGAAUCGUUCCUACUACCAUCAAUAGUGAGAUGACGUUAGGAGAUAUGAAGGUGGAAAGAUUAGAAGAAGCAGAAGUAUAAGAAGAAGAAGAAGAA